UAACACGUGAGCAACCUGCCUUUCAGAGGGGGAUAACGGCUGGAAACGGUCGCUAAUACCGCAUGACGUGUUCGGAUGGCAUCAUCUGAACAUCAAAGAUUUAUCGCUGAAAGAUGGGCUCGCGUCUGAUUAGAUAGUUGGUGGGGUAACGGCCUACCAAGUCUACGAUCAGUAGCCGGACUGAGAGGUUGAACGGCCACAUUGGGACUGAGAUACGGCCCAGACUCCUACGGGAGGCAGCAGUGGGGAAUAUUGCACAAUGGGGGAAACCCUGAUGCAGCAACGCCGCGUGAAGGAUGACGGUUUUCGGAUUGUAAACUUCUUUUCUUAGUGACGAAGACAGUGACGGUAGCUAAGGAAUAAGCAUCGGCUAACUACGUGCCAGCAGCCGCGGUAAUACGUAGGAUGCAAGCGUUAUCCGGAUUUACUGGGUGUAAAGGGAGCGCAGGCGGGACUGCAAGUUGGAUGUGAAAUACCGUGGCUUAACCACGGAACUGCAUCCAAAACUGUAGUUCUUGAGUGAAGUAGAGGCAAGCGGAAUUCCGAGUGUAGCGGUGAAAUGCGUAGAUAUUCGGAGGAACACCAGUGGCGAAGGCGGCUUGCUGGGCUUUAACUGACGCUGAAGCUCGAAAGUGUGGGGAGCAAACAGGAUUAGAUACCCUGGUAGUCCACACUGUAAACGAUGAUAGCUAGGUGU
rnacentral:rRNA from 1 species